ACCUCCAUCUGCAGACGAUAAACCAGCCUGCAAAACCUCCACCUCAACCUCCAUCCGCAGAGUUUAAACAAGCCUGCAAAACCUCCACCUCAACCUUCAUCUGCAGAGAUUAAACCAGCCUGCCAAACCUCCACCUAAACCUCCAUCUGCAGUGCUUAAACCAGCCUGCAAAACCUCUAGCUUACUCUCCAUAUAUAUAGAUUAAACCAGCCUGCAAAACCUACACCUUAAUCUCCAUCUGCAAAAGGUAAACCAGCUUGAAAAAACUCCACCUUACUCUCCAUCUGCAGAGUUUAAACCAGCCUGCAAAACCUCUACAUCACUCUCCAUCUGCAGAGAUUAGAACAGCCUGCAAAUCCUCCAUCUCAACCUCCAUCUGAAGGGAUUCAACCAGCCUGCAAGACCUCCACCUCAACCUCGAUCUGAACAGUUUAAAGUAGCCUGCAAGACCUCGACCUCAACUUCCAUCGUUAGAGUUUAAACCAGCCUGCAAAACCUCCACCUCAACCUUCAUCUGCAGAGAUUAAACCUGCCUCCAAAACCUCCACCCUAAUCUUCAUCUCUGGAGUUCAACUCUACCUGCAAAACCUCCACCACACUCGCCAUUAUGGGGUUUCCCAGGCUGGUUACCGGAGCACAGAGUGUGACGAUAUGAUCCUCUCAUGCCGACUAUAUGUUCAACUUUGGAGCACCAAGAUGACGCACUGGGAAGCUACGGAGCAAAGCCAGUUUAUGUUGGGAUCCAGAGGUUUGUCAACCUUUCUCCACCAGAGGGAGCCUGAGACCUUCCUCCUGAGGGCAUGAGUCGACUUCUGCACACCUGUUCUCUAUCUUCUCAUUUGGAACAGAGGUUGAAAGAGCCUUUCCUCAUCCAUACUCCCUACGUUGUGAUUAGCAACUACCAUCUUCCAAAGCGCAGAUCUGGAUUAUGAGACAAUACAAAGGAUCCUGAAUAAUCUGGAGAUCAACCAACCUACAAGACAGAACCCUCGCUGCCUGGAGCCUUACCUGUCUGCCCUCCACCGCCGCCUCUGACCUCAUCCCUCAACCUGCCGACCGGCCUCUAGACCCUCAAGGUCCCCCCCCCCCACCGGUUUGAAGCACCCCCCAAAAAGGUAUUAAUCCUAAACUACCACCAAACAGCAAGUUUCCGUGAUCCAGACUAAUCAUUUCUGUCCUCCCCUAGUUGCCCCCUGAGAUCAGCCUGAUGAACCAAGGAAUCCAUAAAUCUUUGUCUGAAUUAAUUGUUAAUAUAUCUCACUUUUGUAUUUCCUGUCUCUGGAGUGUUUUCUGCAAGUGGGUUUGGAGACUCGACCCCAACAUGACAGUUUACAAAAAUCUCCUUGAAAAGUAGAGUAAAUGUUUAUAAUAAAGAUUACAUCAGCCUGUAAAUUGAACCCAGAAGAACGAAAGAUGGUAGAAGAACCUUUAAUGAAAACUGUUUUGUGAUUUUAUAUAUUCAAAGGAAAUGGGAAAAUAUAUUAAUGUACUGUAAUGUUGAAGGUGUAUUUAUAUUUUCUGGCUUUUGUAAAGAAAUAAUCCAAGCUCACUUUGAUCAAAUCAAAUUAGGUUUUGAGCAGGAAAUAAUCAAAUGUCAUCAGCAUAAUGUAAAAAAUACCCUUCUGUUUUAACUGUUUUAGUUUAUCAUUGAUUUAAAAUAAAAUUUAGAUGCCAUCUUCAGUAUCGUUAGACAUCAAUUGUGUUACAUAAUAUAUGUUUACAUUGCUUAAAAGUUUUUUUGUUUUUUUUUCUUAUUUCUGCUUUUAGAAUUAAACUCACAUUAUUUAACAUACACAGCAAUAAAGUAGACAUAAUUUGUAUUGAGGAAACAUUGCUUAAAUCUCAUCUAGAUUUUAUAUUGAAAGAAUGUAAGAAGAGAUUGAGAAGAGGGUAGGGAAGGAGGACUUAUAUUUAUAAAAGAAGGAAUCAAAUAUAGUUUGUUAACAAAACGGUCAGAUUUGGAAUAAAUAUUCCUAGAAAUCUGGGUUGGAAAUAACAUUAAAGUUAU